GGCCCGUUGGUCAAGUGGUUAAGACACCGCCCUUUCACGGCCGGUAACACGGGUUCGAAUCCCGUACGGGUCACCA
rnacentral:tRNA from 1 species